UUGAGCACAAGAUUUAAGCCAGCAUGUUGAAAAUAAAGGCUUCAAAAGAUAGUCUAGAUUGAGCAAGGUAGAGAACCUUGACCUGAGCUUCCUCUCCUUCAAGGAAAGCAUCCUACCAUAUUGGGGUACCCUUUCAUUCCUCAAGAGUAUGUCUCUAGCGGACAAUUCGUUCAGAGUUCCAGACAAGUUUUGAAAUGUUGUCAUGAUUGGGCAACUUAAUUAGAGCAUCUAGGCCUAAGUGGGAAUGGCUUCAAUAGAAGCAUUAUACCGUAUUUGGGUGCAAUCUCAUCCCUUGGGAGCUUUGAUUUGCGCUGGAUUAAUUUGGAAGGAUCCUUGUCCUCUAAAUGUAAGUUGAUUAAUUGUAAAGAAAUUAAAUCAAAAUUGAUAACAUCAAUCAUAUGUCUAAACUCCCCGUUUAAUUCUUUUAUUAUUUAUUUUUUAAUUUUUU